UAAAUUGUCAUGGAAUUGAUUUCAUUUUUAUUUUUUAUUUUUGCAUCAUAUGCAUAGCAUAACAUACAUUUGCAUCAUGAAUAAUACCUAAAAUGUCAGUCAGAAUGAACUUAUUCGAGAAUACAGAAAAAUCGGUUAAAUUGCUUCUCAAGAAUUUAACCGGUGCAAAAUUAUUUCAAAAUUUGAGGAAAGACUGUAUUUUUUUAUAAGUAUAUUUUGUCUUGACAAUUUUAAUAUAGUUGAUUUAAUUUUCCGAGUAAACUUAUGCUCGUUUUCCAUUUUCUAAUUAGUAAUAUUUUUGGUUAGUUAUUUAAAUUAAAGUAAUUAGAAUAUAUUUAAAUUAAAUAUUAAUUAAAUUUUCUUAUAAUUUCAUUUUCUUAAAUCAAUAAUAAUUGUUUGAAAAAAUAUAUAUAUUGAGUACAUUGGAUUCCAUGGACAGCUGUCUUUCACAGUACAAAAUAAAAAAAAGAGAAAUAAAUUGAAUGGGAAAACCCAACGUCUCUCUCCUUCCCACUCAUUCCUCACCACACUCAGAAAAGACAAAAAAAAAAAGAAGAAGGAAAAUAAAGAUCCUCACAAUCGGUCUCUCGUACAAAAACCCACGUUAACCUCACACUCCUGGAGACUGUUCAUCGCCUCUCUCAACCCUUCACUAUUCAUCGUCAUCUCCGCCUCUUCAACAACCCUCAAAAAUCCCUUCAUCUUCUUUCCACCCAAACCGAAACCACCGCCGCUCAUCAUCCUCACUCACAAAAC
rnacentral:lncRNA from 1 species